rnacentral:lncRNA from 1 species
CCUAUCAUUGUUGUAAUGCACAAUCAGGGUUUUUCUUCUCCAAAUGUUUUGUAGCAUUCCUUAAAAUAUUUGGCUGGAACUUUGCAGGUUUAACCAACCCAACAGAAGAAAGGAAGAAGAGAUUUUUCCUGUGGCUUGAUUAUGGCAGUGUUUCACAUCCCAGGACGGAUCUUGUUUGGUUCUUGGGCUCCUGCUGCUGGAAUUUGGGAGAAGGAAUGCUGCAGUGCUUUUUAAUCUGAAUAAGCUCUGUCCAUCCAGAGCUCCAUAUAGACAGAAUCACAAUUUGGAAAGGUGAUGCUUUCUCAUACCUGUCAAUGAAAAGAGAAAAUAUUUUUAUAUGGGUUGUACAGUUGACAGCCUGGAUCUGCUGGCGGGGUUAUAAGAUCUGUUUGAAGUACCUGGACUUCAGGAUUGGGCAAUGAUAAUGAACUGAGAGAUGGGCACAGGGCUGCUGCUUGACAAUCAUCUUUUGGUUGGCCUCCACCAAGUGCUGAUUUGGGCUGACACGUGAGUACCUGAUAGCACAAGGUUGGUGCCACUUGUGGAGGGUAUUUUACAAAACACAAAAUAGAUGAAAGUCUGUAAACCUGAUUCAUCUUUUUUUAAGUCUCUUAUCUUCUGCCACUGCAAAAGACUCAGGUCAUAUUAGUGGCCAUAGAUAGCUAAGUCACAGGAUAGGCCAAAGUCCUGUUUCCCAGAAGCCUGGAGACAGGCAUGUGAGAGCCACUGACACCAUCCUGUGGGCUGGUGGAUGGGGAAGUGCUCGUGCUGUGAUAAGGAUAGUUUUGCCUCUAGGACAUUCAGAAAAAUUAAUAGAGAUGGCAGUUGAGAAGCUAUCAGUGAAACUUCUGUUAGUGUGUGAAGGUCAUUAUUUGGACAGCCAGUCCAUAAACAGAUAACACAGGGAAUGUGUUGUGUAACAACAUCCAUGAUCCAAUGAUCGUGAAUGCUGUCAGAGAAGGGGAAAAGCAUAUCACCGAUAACAGUGAAACUUGAGUGCUUUUCCUUUAAGGCAACUCCAACAGCAACUUU